GAUCAUGGCUCAGGAUGAACGCUAGCUACAGGCUUAACACAUGCAAGUCGAGGGGAAACGACAUCGAAAGCUUGCUUUUGAUGGGCGUCGACCGGCGCACGGGUGAGUAACGCGUAUCCAACCUGCCCACCACUUGGGGAUAACCUUGCGAAAGUAAGACUAAUACCCAAUGAUAUCUCUAGAAGACAUCUGAAAGGGAUUAAAGAUUUAUCGGUGAUGGAUGGGAUGCGU
rnacentral:rRNA from 1 species